UACGUAGGGACCGAGCGUUGUUCGGAAUCACUGGGCGUAAAGGGCGCGUAGGCGGACUUGUAAGUCGGGAGUGAAAACUCGGGGCUCAACCCCGAGCCUGCUUCUGAAACUGCGAGUCUUUGAGGACCGGAGAGGAAAGUGGAAUUCCUAGUGUAGCGGUGGAAUGCGUAGAUAUUAGGAAGAACACCAGUGGCGAAGGCGACUUUCUGGACGGUUCCUGACGCUGAGGCGCGAAAGCUAGGGGAGCAAACAGGG
rnacentral:rRNA from 1 species